rnacentral:rRNA from 1 species
UACGUAGGGGGCAAGCGUUAUUCGGAUUUACUGGGUGUAAAGGGGGCGCAGACGGCGAUGCAAGCCAGGAGUGAAAGCCCGGGGCCCAACCCCGGGACUGCUCUUGGAACUGCGUGGCUGGAGUGCAGGAGGGGCAGGCGGAAUUCCUGGUGUAGCGGUGAAAUGCGUAGAUAUCAGGAGGAACACCGGUGGCGAAGGCGGCCUGCUGGACUGCAACUGACGUUGAGGCCCGAAAGCGUGGGGAGCAAACAGG